rfam:Desulfosporosinus sp. I2 contig00095, whole genome shotgun sequence.
GGGUGAUUAGCUCAGUUGGUAGAGCGCCUGCCUUACAAGCAGGAUGUCGGCGGUUCGAGCCCGUCAUCGCCCA